rnacentral:rRNA from 1 species
CACGUAGGGGCCAAGCGUUGUCCGGAUUCAUUGGGCGUAAAGAGCUCGUAGGCGGUUCGAUAAGUCGGGUGUGAAACCUCCAGGCUCAACCUGGAGGCGCCACCCGAUACUGUCGUGACUAGAGUCCAGUAGGGGAGCGUGGAAUUCCUGGUGUAGCGGUGAAAUGCGCAGAUAUCAGGAGGAACACCAGCGGCGAAGGCGGCGCUCUGGGCUGGAACUGACGCUGAGGAGCGAAAGCGUGGGGAGCGAACAGG